rnacentral:rRNA from 1 species
GACGAACGCUGGCGGCGUGCUUAACACAUGCAAGUCGAACGGAAAGGCCCCCACUUUUUUGGUGGGGGUGCUCGAGUGGCGAACGGGUGAGUAACACGUGGGUGAUCUGCCCUGUACUUCGGGAUAAGCUUGGGAAACUGGUUCUAAUACCGGAUAGGACCAUGGUUUAUUGUCUCAUGGUGGAAAAAUUAUUGUUUUGGUGCAGGAUGAGCUCGCGGCCUAUCAGCUUGUUGGUGGGGUAAUGGCCUACCAAGGCGUCGACGGGUAGCCGGCCUGAGAGGGUGGACGGCCACAUUGGGACGGAGAUACGGCCCAGACUCCUACGGGAGGCAGCAGUGGGGAUUAUUGCACAAGGGGCGCAAGCCUGAUGCAGCGACGCCGCGUGGGGGAUGACGGCCUUCGGGUGGUAAACUCCUUUCGUUAGGGACGAAGCCGCACCUUUUUGGGGUGUGGUGACGGUACCUUUGUUAAGAAGCACCGGCUAACUACGUG